rnacentral:rRNA from 1 species
CAAGGGCGAACCUGACGCAGCGACGCCGCGUGAGGGAUGAAGGCCUUCGGGUCGUAAACCUCUGUCCUAAGGGAAGAAACUGNCNGUUUCUUAUAGAGGAUGCCCCGUUGUAAGUACCUUCCGACGACCCCCGGUGAUACGACCGUGCCAGCAGCCGCGGUAAUACGA